rnacentral:misc_RNA from 1 species
UCCGGCUUAACACCGGCAGUCCCUCUAGAGUGCCCAACUGAAUGCUGGCAACUAGAGACGGGGGUUGCGCUCGUUGCGGGACUUAACCCAACAUCUCACGACACGAGCUGACGACAGCCAUGCAGCACCUGUGCACGGACUCCGAAGAGGGCCCGGUGUUUCCACCGGGUUUCCCCUGCAUGUCAAGCCUAGGUAAGGUUCUUCGCGUUGCGUCGAAUUAAACCACAUGCUCCACCGCUUGUGCGGGCCCCCGUCAAUUCCUUUGAGUUUCAGCCUUGCGGCCGUACUCCCCAGGCGGGGCACUUCAUGCGUUAGCGCCGGCACCCAGGGGGUCGCUCCCCCAAGCACCUAGUGCCCAUCGUUUACGGCGUGGACUAC